CCCGUCCCCCUGAUGCGACUCCCAGCAGUCCCGGGAAAGAGGCUGUAGGGGUUCAGGGAGGCACUGCAGGAACCACAGCCCCGAAACCCAGUUCCUCCCCAUCAUCCUGAAGAGUUGCGCUACAUGGUGAAGCAGCUGGAGAACGGGGAGGUCAACAUCGAAGAGCUGAAGAAGAACCUGGAGUACACGGCGUCCCUGCUGGAGGCCGUCUACAUAGACGAGACGCGGUGAGAGGCGCCCCGGGGCGGGGUGGGGGGACAGGGGGGCCCGGAGGGAGGGCGGGAGGAAGGGGCAGGGGCACAGGGAGGGAGUUGGCCCGGUGGGGACACAGGGCAGCGAGGGAUGGAGG
rnacentral:lncRNA from 1 species